UCAAAGACACAAACUUCUUCAUGAGAGUUACAGAACAAAUACAGUUAUUUAUAUACAAAUAUACAGAAACUGGGUGAAUGUGGACAGCAGCAGCGAGAUGGAGAUGAUAAUGUGGUCGGUGUCUUCAUCUGGGAAACACUGUGACUGUGUGUGAGCACCAAGCAUCCAUGUUAUAAACACAGAGUCCAGCUGUGGUCCUGCAAUAUCUCGGAUCAGAACAUGGUGCACCUGCUGAGUGCAAGGUCUCUGUACAGAUGUUCUGAUGUUGAGGUGGAGACGGGUCUCUGUACAGAUGUUCUGGAUGUUGAGGUGGAGACGGGUCUCUGUACAGAUGUUCUGGAUGUUGAGGUGGAGACGGGUCUCUGUACAGAUGUUCUGAUGUUGAGGUGGAGACGGGUCUCUGUACAGAUGUUCUGGAUGUUGAGGUGGAGACGGGUCUCAGUACAGAUGUUCUGGAUGUUGAGGUGGAGACGGGUCUCUGUACAGAUGUUCUGGAUGUUGAGGUGGAGACAGUUCUGUACAGAUGUUCUGGAUGUUGAGGUGGAGAAGGGUCUCUGUACAGAUGUUCUGAUGUUGAGGUGGAGACGGGUCUCUGUACAGAUGUUCUGGAUGUUGAGGUGGAGAUGGGUCUCUGUACAGAUGUUCUGAUGUUGAGGUGGAGACGGGUCUCUGUACAGAUGUUCUGGAUGUUGAGGUGGAGACGGGUCUCUGUACAGAUGUUCUGGAUGUUGAGGUGGAGAUGGGUCUCUGUACAGAUGUUCUGAUGUUGAGGUGGAGACGGGUCUCUGUACAGAUGUUCUGAUGUUGAGGUGGAGACGGGUCUCUGUACAGAUGUUCUGGAUGUUGAGGUGGAGACGGGUCUCUGUACAGAUGUUGAGGUGGAGAAGGGUCUCUGUACAGAUGUUGAGGUGGAGAAGGGUCUCUGUACAGAUGUUGAGGUGGAGACGGGUCUCUGUACAGAUGUUGAGGUGGAGAAGGGUCUCUGUACAGAGAUCAGUUUGGGUCUGUGAUCACAGAGUUGGAGCUGUAUGGAGACAUCUGAAGUUUCUUUGGUUGUUUCUCUGAUUGAAGUCUGCAGCUGCUUCAGUUGUUCAGCAGAACGCUGCAACUCUGUUUUACUGUGAAGCUCCAGAACUGUUCUGUGGACUACCACACUUCACCUGACUUUAUAUCAUCAGGAGGAGAGGAGGACUUUAUAUCAUCAGGAGGAGGAGAGGAGAACUUUAUAUCAUCAGGAGGAGGAGAGGAGGACUUUAUAUCAUCAGUAGGAGGAGAGGAGGACUUAUAUCAUCAGGAGGAGGAGGAGGAGAGGAGGACUUUAUAUCAUCAGGAGGAGAGAGGAGGACUUUAUAUCAUCAGGAGGAGGAGAGGAGGACUUUAUAUCAUCAGGAGGAGGAGAGGAGGACUUUAUAUCAUCAGGAGGAGGAGAGGAGGACUUUAUAUCCUCAGGAGAGGAGAGGAGGACUUUAUAUCAUCAGGAGGAGGAGAGGAGGACUUUAUAUCAUCAGGAGGAGGAGAGGAGGACUUUAUAUCAUCAGGAGGAGGAGAGGAGGACUUUAUAUCAUCAGGAGGAGAGAGGAGGACUUUAUAUCAUCAGGAGGAGGAGAGGAGGACUUUAUAUCAUCAGGAGGAGGAGAGGAGGAGUUAUAUCAUCAGGAGGAGGAGAGGAGGACUUAUAUCAUCAGGAGGAGGAGGAGGAGGACUUUAUAUCAUCAGGAGGAGGAGAGGAGGACUUUAUAUCAUCAGGAGGAGGAGAGGAGGACUUUAUAUCAUCAGGAGGAGGAGAGGAGGACUUUAUAUCAUCAGGAGGAGGAGAGGAGGACUUUAUAUCAUCAGGAGGAGGAGAGGAGGACUUUAUAUCAUCAGGAGGAGGAGAGGAGGACUUUAUAUCAUCAGGAGGAGGAGAGGAGGACUUUAUAUCAUCAGGAGGAGGAGAGGAGGACUUUAUAUCAUCAGGAGGAGAGGAGGACUUUAUAUCAUCAGGAGGAGGAGAGGAGGACUUUAUAUCAUCAGGAGGAGGAGAGGAGGACUUUAUAUCAUCAGGAGGAGGAGAGGAGGACUUUAUAUCAUCAGGAGGAGGAGAGGAGGACUUUAUAUCAUCAGGAGGAGGAGAGGAGGACUUUAUAUCAUCAGGAGGAGGAGAGGAGGACUUUAUAUCAUCAGGAGGAGGAGAGGAGGACUUUAUAUCAUCAGGAGGAGAGGAGGACUUUAUAUCAUCAGGAGGAGGAGAGGAGGACUUUAUAUCAUCAGGAGGAGAGAGGAGGACUUUAUAUCAUCAGGAGGAGGAGAGGAGGACUUUAUAUCAUCAGGAGGAGGAGAGGAGGACUUUAUAUCAUCAGGAGGAGGAGAGGAGGACUUUAUAUCAUCAGGAGGAGAGGAGGACUUUAUAUCAUCAGGAGGAGGAGAGGAGGACUUUAUAUCAUCAGGAGGAGAGGAGGACUUUAUAUCAUCAGAGGAGGAGAGGAGGACUUUAUAUCAUCAGGAGGAGGAGAGGAGGACUUUAUAUCAUCAGGAGGAGGAGAGGAGGACUUAUAUCAUCAGGAGGAGAGGAGGACUUUAUAUCAUCAGGAGGAGGAGAGGAGGACUUUAUAUCAUCAGGAGGAGGAGAGGAGGACUUUAUAUCAUCAGGAGGAGGAGAGGAGGACUUAUAUCAUCAGGAGGAGGAGAGGAGGACUUUAUAUCAUCAGGAGGAGGAGAGGAGGACUUUAUAUCAUCAGGAGGAGGAGAGGAGGACUUUAUAUCAUCAGGAGGAGGAGAGGAGGACUUAUAUCAUCAGGAGGAGGAGAGGAGGACUUAUAUCAUCAGGAGGAGGAGAGGAGGACUUUAUAUCAUCAGGAGGAGGAGAGGAGGACUUUAUAUCAUCAGGAGGAGGAGAGGAGGACUUUAUAUCAUCAGGAGGAGGAGAGGAGGACUUUAUAUCAUUCAGGAGGAGGAGAGGAGGACUUUAUAUCAUCAGGAGGAGGAGAGGAGGACUUUAUAUCAUCAGGAGGAGGAGAGGAGGACUUUAUAUCACAGGAGGAGGAGAGGAGGACUUUAUAUCAUCAGGAGGAGGAGAGGAGGACUUUAUAUCAUCAGGAGGAGGAGAGGAGGACUUUAUAUCAUCAGGAGGAGGAGAGGAGGACUUUAUAUCAUCAGGAGGAGGAGAGGAGGACUUUAUAUCAUCAGGAGGAGGAGAGAGGACUUUAUAUCCUCAGGAGGAGAGGAGGACUUUAUAUCAUCAGGAGGAGGAGAGGAGGACUUUAUAUCAUCAGGAGGAGGAGAGGAGGGACUUUAUAUCAUCAGGAGGAGGAGAGGAGGACUUUAUAUCAUCAGGAGGAGGAGAGGAGGACUUUAUAUCAUCAGGAGGAGGAGAGGAGGACUUUAUAUCAUCAGGAGGAGGAGAGGAGGACUUUAUAUCAUCAGGAGGAGGAGAGGAGGACUUUACUUAUUCUUUAAAAUCAAAGAUCUUCUGUUCAGAUAACUUUCAAUCUCAACUCUAACUGACUUCAUUGAGUCUACAUCAGUUCACACACACUGACGGUUGAUUCCGUCU
rnacentral:lncRNA from 1 species